AUGGUUGAGCACCAACAAAGCGCAUCUGCUCUUCACUUUCUCUUCCAUUACGAACAUACACACAUCAUCAGUUCAUCCAUUAGAAACAUGGUUUGCCAUCAAAGAUCCGCAAGCUUGCCUUACUCCAGUGAAUCCCAAGUGGAGGUGGAGCUGCAGGGCCUGAAGUCAUGCAUCUCUUCACCCUCCGCAACCAUCGACACAAUGUGUGGUGGUUACGCAAGGCUUGGAGACAUCUACAAGUGCAUAGAGGAGAUCAUGGGCUUGCCCAGCAACCAAGUUGGCCUCUCCUUCCCCCAAAACAAGAAAAUGGUGGAAGAGGAACUGGAGCGAUCCCUCCUGCUGAUUGAUCUCUGCAAUUCAAUGCAAGAGAAUUUAGCAGAGCUGAAGAUGAGUACCCAGGAGCUGCAACUGGUUCUCAAAAGAUGA
rnacentral:rRNA from 1 species